rnacentral:rRNA from 1 species
GUCCAUGGCAAUACCACCCUGAACAUGCCUGAUCUCGUCUGAUCUCAGAAGCUAAGCAGGGUUGGACCUGGUUAGUACUUGGAUGGGAGGGAUGGGAGAAAAUAUACC